rnacentral:lncRNA from 1 species
UGUAAGGACACUGCAGCAAGAGAACUGUAUUCAGCAGAGGCAGGAGGAAACUGUAGGAGAUGGGAAAGUGCCAUAAGAUCUGAGGAGACUUGCAUGCGUGAUUGGGGAACAGAGGAGUGGCAAGGCCAGGAUUGCUGUUUGUUCCUGGUUUACCUGCAGUGGGGAGAUAUUAGGAGGAAUAGGAAAGCGGUUCUGUAG